AGUGAACGCUGGCGGUAGGCCUAACACAUGCAAGUCGACCGGCAGCACAGGAGAGCUUGCUCUCUGGGUGGCGAGUGGCGGACGGGUGAGGAAUACAUCGGAAUCUACUCUGUCGUGGGGGAUAACGUAGGGAAACUUACGCUAAUACCGCAUACGACCUACGGGUGAAAGCAGGGGACCUUCGGGCCUUGCGCGAUUGAAUGAGCCGAUGUCGGAUUAGCUGGUUGGGGGGGUAAAGGCCCACCAAGGCGACGAUCCGUAGCUGGUCUGAGAGGAUGAUCAGCCACACUGGAACUGAGGCACGGUCCAGACUCCGACGGGAGGCAGCAGUGGGGAAUAUUGGACAAUGGGCGCAAGCCUGAUCCAGCCAUACCGCGUGGGUGAAGAAGGCCUUCGGGUUGUAAAGCCCUUUUGUUGGGAAAGAAAUCCAGCUGGCUAAUACCCGGUUGGGAUGACGGUACCCAAAGAAUAAGCACCGGCUAACUUCGUGCCAGCAGCCGCGGUAA
rnacentral:rRNA from 1 species